rnacentral:rRNA from 1 species
UGCGUAGGUGGUUGUUUAAGUCUGUCGUGAAAGCCCUGGGCUCAACCUGGGAAUUGCGAUGGAUACUGGGCGACUAGAGUGUGGUAGAGGAUAGUGGAAUUUCCGGUGUAGCAGUGAAAUGCGUAGAGAUCGGAAGGAACAUCUGUGGCGAAGGCGACUAUCUGGGCCAACACUGACACUGAGGCACGAAAGCGUGGGGAGCAAACAGGAUUAGAUACCCUGGUAGUCCACGCCCUAAACGAUGCGAACUGGAUGUUGGGCACAACUUGGUGCCCAGUAUCGAAGCUAACGCGUUAAGUUCGCCGCCUGGGGAGUACGGUCGCAAGACUGAA